rnacentral:rRNA from 1 species
GAUGAACGCUGGCGGCGUGCUUAACACAUGCAAGUCGAACGAGAAGUGGAGACGGAAACCUUCGGGCGGAAGACUUUACUUCGAGUGGCGGACGGGUGAGUAACGCGUGGGUAACCUGCCUCAUACAGGGGGAUAACAGUUGGAAACGACUGUUAAUACCGCAUAAGACCACAGCACCGCAUGGUGCGGGGGUAAAAACUCCGGUGGUAUGAGAUGGACCCGCGUUCGAUUAGCCAGUUGGCGGGGUAACGGCCCACCAAAGCGACGAUCGAUAGCCGAUCUGAGAGGAUGACCGGCCACAUUGGGACUGAGACACGGCCCAAACUCCUACGGGAAGCAGCAGUGGGGAAUAUUGCACAAUGGGGGAAACCCUGAUGCAGCGACGCCGCGUGAGUGAAGAAGUAUUUCGGUAUGUAAAGCUCUAUCAGCAGGGAAGAAAAUGACAGUACCUGAGGAAGAAGCCCCGGCUAACUACGUG